AUUGAACGCUGGCGGAAUGCUCUACACAUGCAAGUCGAACGGCAGCACGGGGGCAACCCCGGUGGCGAGGGGCGAACGGGUGAGAAAUACCUCGGAACGCGCCCGGGCGUGGGGGAUAAAGUCGCGAGAGUUGCGAUAAUACCGCAUGCGCUCUGGGGGAGAGCGCGGGAGACUUUCGGGCCUCGCGCGAUCGGCGCGGCAGAUGUGAGAUUAGGUAGUUGGGGGGGUAAAGGCCUACCAAGCCGACGAUCUGUAGCUGGUCUGAGAGGACGACCAGCCACACUGGGACUGAGACACGGCCCAGACUCCUACGGGAGGCAGCAGUGGGGAAUUUUGGACAAUGGGCGCAAGCCUGAUCCAGCCAUUCCGCGUGCAGGACGAAGGCCUUCGGGUUGUAAACUGCUUUUGUAUGGAACGAAAAGGCUCUGGCUAAUACCCGGGGCUCAUGACGGUACCGUAAGAAUAAGCACCGGCUAACUACGUG
rnacentral:rRNA from 1 species